rnacentral:rRNA from 1 species
AACGAACGCUGGCGGCAGGCUUAACACAUGCAAGUCGAGCGCUCCGCAAGGGGAGCGGCAGACGGGUGAGUAACGCGUGGGAAUCUACCCAUCACUACGGAACAACUCCGGGAAACUGGAGCUAAUACCGUAUACGUCCUUCGGGAGAAAGAUUUAUCGGUGAUGGAUGAGCCCGCGUUGGAUUAGCUAGUUGGUGGGGUAAUGGCCUACCAAGGCGACGAUCCAUAGCUGGUCUGAGAGGAUGAUCAGCCACACUGGGACUGAGACACGGCCCAGACUCCUACGGGAGGCAGCAGUGGGGAAUAUUGGACAAUGGGGGCAAGCCUGAUCCAGCCAUGCCGCGUGAGGGAGGAAGGCCUUAGGGUUGUAAAGCUCUUUCGUCCGGGACGAUAAUGACGGUACCGGAAGAAGAAGCCCCGGCUAACUUCGUGCCAGCCGCCGCCGUAACAC